rnacentral:rRNA from 1 species
ACGAACGCUGGCGGCGUGCCUAAUACAUGCAAGUAGAACGCACAGUUUAUACCGUAGCUUGCUACACCAUAGACUGUGAGUUGCGAACGGGUGAGUAACGCGUAGGUAACCUGCCUGGUAGCGGGGGAUAACUAUUGGAAACGAUAGCUAAUACCGCAUAAUAUUAAUUAUUGCAUGAUAAUUAAUUGAAAGGUGCAAUUGCACCACUACCAGAUGGACCUGCGUUGUAUUAGCUAGUAGGUGAGGUAACGGCUCACCUAGGCGACGAUACAUAGCCGACCUGAGAGGGUGAUCGGCCACACUGGGACUGAGACACGGCCCAGACUCCUACGGGAGGCAGCAGUAGGGAAUCUUCGGCAAUGGACGAAGGUCUGACCGAGCAACGCCGCGUGAGUGAAGAAGGUUUUCGGAUCGUAAAGCUCUGUUGUAAGAGAAGAACGGGUGUGAGAGUGGAAAGUUCACACUGUGACGGUAUCUUACCAGAAAGGGACGGCUAACUACGUG